AACGAACGCUGGCGGCAUGCCUAACACAUGCAAGUCGAACGAGACCAUCGGGUCUUGUGGCGCCCGGGUUCGUAACGCGUGGGAACCUGCCCUUAGGGUCGGACUAACUCCCCGACAGGGGUGCUAAUACCGGACCAUGUCUACUGACCAAUGAUUUAUCGACUUUGGUUGUGCCCGCGUUGGAGUAGCUCGUUGUUAGGGUAAAAGCCUACCAAGGCGACGAUCAAUAACUGGUCUGUGAGGAUGGUCACAGACACUGGGACUGAGACACGGCCCGGACUCCUACGGGAGGCGGCAGUGGGGAAUAUUGGACAGUGGGGGAAAGCAUGAUCGAGUAAGGACGCGUGAAUUAUGUAAGCCGUAGGGUUGUAAAGUGCUAUUACCCGGGAUGAUAAUGACGGUACCGAGAGAAUAAGCUACGGCUAACUACGUG
rnacentral:rRNA from 1 species